rnacentral:rRNA from 1 species
CGGAAGGCAGCAGUGGGGAAUAUUGCACAAUGGGCGAAAGCCUGAUGCAGCGACGCCGCGUGAGUGAAGAAGUAUCUCGGUAUGUAAAGCUCUAUCAGCAGGGAAGAAAAUGACGGUACCUGACUAAGAAGCCCCGGCUAACUACGUGCCAGCAGCCGCGGUAAUACGUAGGGGGCAAGCGUUAUCCGGAUUUACUGGGUGUAAAGGGAGCGUAGACGGUUUGGCAAGUCUGAAGUGAAAUGCGGGGGCUCAACUCCUGAACUGCUUUGGAAACUGUCGAACUAGAGUGCAGGAGAGGUAAGUGGAAUUCCUAGUGUAGCGGUGAAAUGCGUAGAUAUUAGGAGGAACACCAGUGGCGAAGGCGGCUUACUGGACUGUAACUGACGUUGAGGCUCGAAAGCGUGGGGAGCAAACAGGAUUAGAUACCCUGGUA